UGCAGUUCUGCAGCCUAAAGGAGAGGGGCAGCUCAGGUGAGAUAAAUGCAUCCUCAGAAUUGCUCUGGGGCUCUUCUGGGAGAAGUGCAGCUCUUGGGGUUUGGGCACAGGAAGGUACACCGUGGCACCACCAGGGUGCAGCUCUCUUGAAAGCAGUACAGACAGGUAACAACACUACAGCUCAGUCUUGCUACUGAAACGCAUUGUGCCUUGUACCUCUUCUCACAGCAGAGAAAAAUCAUAUUCAGAGGAGACAGAAUGCAGCUAGGGACUACCUGAUGCUUCUGCAGGAUUUCAUGGUAGACAGAAGCUCAGCCCAUCGAGACGGGUCCAUCUCCUCACACUGGAUGUCAAGGUCCAUUUUGGGAGUUGAGCUAGGAUCUGAAAAGGGAAACUCAAGCUGUUAUUUCUGCCACUGGCUCAGAAACAAGCACAGCAACCCUUUACAAACCCACCCAUGGCCCU